rnacentral:sRNA from 1 species
AUUUACUGAUUCUCAGCAAUGUUUUGUUGGUUUUAUCCUCUUUUGAGAGAAACUUGAUAUAAGUGUUAUCUAAACACUCCUUAUCCAUCUUUAACUAUAAUAAUUAGUCAAAUGAAUUGGAUUGUGACACAUUUUAACCAUAAAACACUAAAAGAACCGUUUACAGCUUCUAAGUAAUUUUUGGUUUUAGCCUCUUUUGGGAGAAAAUGGGUAUAAGUGUUAUCUAAACAAUUUUAAUCCAUCUCUAACUCUUAUAAUUAGUCCAAUGCAUUGGAUUGUGACACAUUUUGACCAUAGAAACACUAACAAAUAUAUUUACCGCUUCUACGCAAUGUUUUGUUGGUUUUAGCCUCUUUUGGGAGAAAAUGGGUAUAAGUGUUGUCUAAACACUCCUAGUCCAUCUUUAACUCUUAUAUUUGGUCACAUGCAUUGGAUUAGGACAUAUUUUGACCAUAGAAACACUAACAAAUAUAUUGACUGUUUCUAUGCAAUGUUUUGUAGGUUUUGGCCCCUUUUGGGAGAAAAUGGGUAUAAGUGUUGUCUAAACACUCCUAAUCCAUCUUUAACUCUUAUUAUU